rnacentral:rRNA from 1 species
GGGCCCGCACAAGCGGCGGAGCAUGCGGAUUAAUUCGAUGCAACGCGAAGAACCUUACCAAGGCUUGACAUAUAGAGGAAAAGUGCAGAAAUGCACUCCCCGCAAGGUCUCUAUACAGGUGGUGCAUGGUUGUCGUCAGCUCGUGUCGUGAGAUGUUGGGUUAAGUCCCGCAACGAGCGCAACCCUCGUCCUAUGUUGCCAGCACGUAAUGGUGGGAACUCAUGGGAUACUGCCGGGGUCAACUCGGAGGAAGGUGGGGAUGACGUCAAAUCAUCAUGCCCCUUAUGUCUUGGGCUUCACGCAUGCUACAAUGGCCGGUACAGAGGGCUGCAAUACCGCAAGGUGGAG